UUGCCUACGGGGGGCAGCAGUGAGGAAUAUUGGUCAAUGGGCGAGAGCCUGAACCAGCCAAGUCGCGUGAGGGAAGACGGUCCUAUGGAUUGUAAACCUCUUUUGCCGGGGAGCAAAAAGCGGUACGUGUACCGCAUCGAGAGUACCCGGAGAAAAAGCAUCGGCUAACUCCGUGCCAGCAGCCGCGGUAAUACGGAGGAUGCGAGCGUUAUCCGGAUUUAUUGGGUUUAAAGGGUGCGUAGGCGGUUUGAUAAGUUAGAGGUGAAAUGUCGGGGCUCAACCCCGGAACCGCCUCUAAUACUGUU
rnacentral:rRNA from 1 species